AGAUAUCUACAGUACAUCAUGAUUCACAGCAUCAAUAACUCAAGCAAUGUUAUCCUAUAUUUGUACACAUGUGUGCAGGGUACUUACUGAGGCUAAAGAUAAAGUUGCAAAUGUACCGUUGGUGAUGCCAAACCUUCAGAUACUUGAACAAGAUUCAACUGAGCUUAACUGAGAAGUUUAAUGACAAACUAAAGAAGAUGGAACUAAAAAUAACAUAUCAAUUGGGAGUGAAAAAGAAGAAGGAUAAGUCUAUAAAAGCAUCACUUCUGCUACUCAUUUUCUCAAUUCAAUUCACAAGAACAACAAUCAUCUUAUCUUCUCUUUCAAUCAAACAUCAUCCUCGAAAACAAACACAAGGAAACAUAACAAUAUCCAUCCAAUUUCAUCUCUUACUAUCUAUUUUGCAGCGAUCCUCUUCCAUUUGAAAACUCUUCCACGAAAUUCAGGAAAAAUGCAACUCUCCUUCGCUUCCGGACUCUUGAUGUUGGCUGCGGCCUGCGUUGCCUCCCCAGCUCCUGCCACUGCACCUGUAGCAAGAGCUGCUGCAGCACAAGUCCCUGGACCAGGGGAAUAUCCAGGCCCUUAUGAUUUCCUCGGGGAGACCACAGGUCCGUGGGACUGGUGCGCGCCUAAGGUUUACUGCCGAUUUGAUAGGGAUUGCGCCCAACAGGAUGACUGCAAGAAGAAAGCUGGAGACUCGGGCAACCUCGCCCGCUGCGGCUGGGGCGUGUGGCCUCGCUCUUGCUGGACUUGGACCAAGAUCUAAGCAAGUAGCCGGCGAUCAUGGACCAUGGCAAUUGGGAUAAACCCGGUGCCUUGUGGAUCAUGUAUAUCCCAGCUCUAGCUUCGCUCCCUCCCUCGCCCUCUGCAAACGAACAUCCUCAACAUCCAGCACACACUUCCUAUCACCCUCUCUAGCCCGAGUAUCCAACAGCAUGCAACCCCCUUCCCACUCAAGCACACACCUUGACUCCGUCCAACGCUCUGCCUCGGCGCCGGCAGAGCGAGUCUAGCAGUCCCACGAGCGGCCGUACGGAGAGUGGGAGUUGGGAGCCUCCGGAGGAAAGACGGGUAUGGCAAUGUGGCGAUGUGGUCGCGAACCGGUUUCCAUCGAUACCUAGCGGUAUUUUUGACAGUGGGGUUUUUGGGGUCGGAGGCGGCGGUGGGGGUGGACGCCGUGGUGGAGUUUGGGGAAUGGGAGGACUGCUGAGCUGAGUUGGGCGGCGCUUGGUUUGGAUCAUGGUGAUGACGACAAUUGCCUUUUGCUUUUGCUUCUUUUGUUGCUUUUGCUUCUUUUGCUCCUUUUGGCGUAUGGAAUUCCUCAUCUGCAUUUUAAUCAAAGCAUGGUAAGCAUGAUGCACCUGGUUUUAUUUCGAUUGUAAUUUAGUACCUUGCUUCAAGACAUAUGUUCUGUACUUUGUAGACUUGUUCAACUGUUAAUGAAUUUCAUUCUCAAUUAUUUAUUGAAAGCCAUUGAUUCAUGUACUGUACUUAUAUAAAAAACUUAUUGAUGUUUUUAAGAUUCUUCUUGAUGUUGAAAAGGCAAGUAAGUGAUUCAUAGCAAACAUGGUUUGUAAACAGUAGUAACAAACAGCAGUGAAUGACGGCAGAUGGCAAAUUCAGAGCUGCUGGAAUGCAGGAUUCCGCACAUCCGUUUUUGCCACACUCAAUCAAUGUUCAGCAUGGAUAAAGUCUCAAAGCGACUAAACAUGUAGCCUGCUUUUAUGGGUUAGUCUUUGUGGAGCUUUGUGGAUACACAAUAACCACAAUAAGAAUAUCAUAGGAGUAACAGACGAUGCAGUGUGAAUAGAGCAAAUAACAGCAAAUGACAAACAUCAUAGCAGAUAAUCAUAAGAGUAAUUAUAGAUCAUAGUAGUGAUAUGCAAACAAGUGAGAAAAGUAAAAAAUGAAAGAAAUGCAAAACUUGAAAGAUGAGCUGCACACCUACCUCUUCAACUCCUUAGUCUUGAGUACACCACGAAAACUAAUUCCCUUCAAAAAAUAUGAAACCCACACACACACACACACACAAAAAAAAAAAAAAUAAAGGCUCAACAAACAAACAGAAAACAGCUAACAAAAACAAGCUCUAGUUUGUCGAAACACCUUUGGUAUAUGACCAAACUGCGUUAGAUCAAGCUUAACGCGGCUUGGUCCCCAGUGGUAAUGGUGGAGGCAUGGUAACUUGGGGUGGUCCAUCAACGGGCAGAGGUUGAAUGCUCGGCUUCUUUGGGGGAGGAGGGGGAGGGGGUUUUCGAUUAUUCAAAACUUCUAGAUCUGGUCUGUUGAAAGCAUGGGAGGGUGGACGCUGAGGACUGUGGGCAGCAUUAGCAGGUGGUGGAGGCUGCGGAUCCGGAUACGCGGGAGAUUUCUGAUCUUCUAUGAAAUUAUUGAUUCGUUUGGAAAUGCCAUACUUUUGAUCUAACUGGAACAACUUCUUCUUGCCUGACUCAAUCUGCUCACUAUGGCGCUCGCGGAAAUUCCCUGUUGUCGACACUGCACUUCGCGCAUCACUUGCAGAUAUGGAUGUAGGGUCUCGGCUGAAUGAGUGUGCUGUUAGCAACGCAUGUUGCUUCUGCUCCAUGGCGGUGCCUUCAGCGGGGAUGGGUGCUGCGGACGAAGCCGAGCUUGGCAGGAAGGUAUUCAUUCUGGAAAAUCGCUCCUGCAAUUCGUUCUGCGAUGUGUAUGACGGUAUACCUCCAGUCGAGCUGGAACCUGUUGCCUGCGGACCAGAGCCCGCCCUGUGGAUGCCGAGACUUGGGACGGAUACCCCAGCAUUACCAAGACGAUCGAUGGCACCUGUGUUUCCUGAAGAAACUAGUCCGUUCGAGGAAGAAUGAUACGCCGGAGGCGGUGAAGGUGAUGGAGACGGAUGUGCUGCGCUUCGAGGUGGUAGUCUAGGAGGCAAAGAAGGUUUCGGUUUGAGAAUCUGUUUCGAUCGUAACUCAUCCGCCGAUCCAGUUGGAGCGUUGAGCCGUCGAGCAGGGGGAGGGAGGAAAUUGUCGGUGGAUAACCCCGUAGUGUUAGCCCUAAACGGGACCGGAGGAGGGACUUUCUUUGAGCGUUCUGUUUCCUCAGUCUGCUGUUCCUUCCGCCCUUGUUGACGCAGCGAUUGGAUUUCUGCAGCGGAUAGAGACGUGCCCAAUCCUGGCGUUGGGAUCGAGACUCCCCCACCACCCCCAUGCGAGUUUAUGUGUUUAGGUGGGGGAGGGAAGGAAGCCGGGUCCCUGAGAGAAGCGAUAGGCCGACUCGCAUGCUCAGAAUGGCCAUCCGACGUACUCUUUCCUUUGCCUACCCAUCCGGCCUAGACACAUGAUAAACGAUCAGUCAAGACCUCGAUUCCUCCGUUCGUGGCAAUUUUAUUGCUCGACGAACAAAUGGGUUAAGUGAUAGAAAGCGAAAGCAGAAACCAAAGCAAACAUACGACUUGGUUGAUGCCUUUGAAAUCGCCCCGCCAACUCUCCCGGCCACCAUCUUUACCCUUCGGAUGCCACCCUUCCUUGACGAUUCCUCGUAAUCCACUCAUUCUUAUGCACUGGAGUAAGCCGUCGUCACACCGUGUUUCAACCGAGUAACGUUUGUGAAGGAUUAUAUGUUGGGAAAUAAGAUAACGAGAAUGGAGUGUCUAAGAAUUUCCAGUGAGAGCUGCUCAUAAUUUCCUCUGCGGUGUUGAUCCCAUCUCUCUCCACCUGUUUGAGUCGUUGAUUCCAAAAGACCGAGCCACAGCACAGAGCAAAAUCACGUGGACUCCAUGACGACUUAUCCAUCCAUGAAUUUGAACACUGCAAUGGUUCAUGGAGAAAACCACACCCACGCCUCACAUUUUGACACAGGGGUCUGAAAACCAGAUUAGACUAGAGGGCUAGUUGGAGAGUUAACGUCUGCAGCCAUUUGAUAUCGCUUUCCUACACCAUGAUCGCCCCCGAUAUGAAGAAUUAUUAAUUACCGCCAAGAACGCCAAUUGUAACUAUCUAUUCCCCCCCCUUUAGAAGCAAAAAGUAAUUUCAUGAAGUAUAAGGGUCAUCAUUGUUCCGCAAUGGAUUCUCAUCGAUGGCAUGUACAGAAAUAGCUGCAAAUCUGGGAUAUCUGCUGGUUUCGCCCACAGCUACGGCUUAGGCCAUUCGUCCCAGAUCCCCAAUUACUCCAUUUCAAUCGUUCCAGGAGGUUUGCUUGUAAUGUCGUAGACGACUCGGCACACUCCCUUGACCUCAUUCACGAUCCUCCUGCUGACCGUCUUCAGGAACUCGCCGUCAAACGGAUACCAGUCCGCGGUCAUGAAGUCUGUGGUCUCCACAGCCCGGAGCGCAAUGACUUGGUCAUGAACACGCUGGUCUCCCAUUACACCAACUGCCUUGACAGGCAAAAGGGCCGCAAAUGCCUGGCUGAUCUUCCGGUACAGUCCCGCCGCUUUAAUCUCUUCGAUAAAUAUGUGGUCGGCCUCCCGGGCAAUACGGACUUGUUCUGGGGUCACUUCUCCAAGGAUCCGAAUGGCGAUGCCAGGACCUGGAAACGGAUGGCGCCAGACAAGUUCCUCUGGAAUACCAAGCUGUUUCCCCAACUCACGGACUUCGUCCUUGAAAAGCUCGCGGAGCGGCUCAAUGAGCUUGAGAUGCAUGCCUUCCAAAAGGCCGCCCACAUUAUGGUGAGUCUUUAUUGUUGCGCUGGGUCCCUUGAACGAAAUACUUUCAAUCACAUCGGGAUACAACGUGCCUUGAAGCAACCAUUCGAUCUCACCCUCAUUGGAAAAUCCCUGCGCAGCGGCCGCAAUUUUCUUGGCCUCUUCUUGGAAGACUUCUAUGAAUGUGUUGCCAAUGACUUUGCGUUUUUUCUCGGGAUCAUCUGUAAUUCCCUUCAGCUUGCCGAGAAACCGCUCGCUGGCGUCAACCACAGUAAGAUUGAUGCCAAGAUGUUUCGUUAGAGUUUCUUUGACGGUCGCAGCCUCGUUCAAACGAAGGACGCCAUUGUCGACGAGGACGGCAUGGAAUCGAUUUCCAAUUGCCUCCUGCAUUAACUUUGCAGCCACUGUUGAAUCGACACCGCCACUGACAGCUCCGAUAACUUGUCCUUUCUCCCCGACCAAUUUUCUAAUGCGGUCGAUUUCUUGGCUCACAAAUUCGCCCAUUGUCCAGUUUUGCUCGGCUUUUGCUAUUCCAACUGCAAAGUUUCGAAGAACAUCCUUCCCACGCGGUGUGUGCGUGAGCUCCGGGUGAAACUGAAUGCCAUAAAUGGGUUUCUCGGUGUGUGCGAUUCCGGCAAAGGGCGCAUUGGCCGUUGUUGCGAUGGUCACGAAAUUCUCGGGAAGAUUAGAUAGCUUAUCUCCAUGCGACAUCCAUACCACAAGAUCUCCCUCAAGCCCUUCGAAUAACUUAUCAAUGUGCGCCAACUUCCCCGCGUGCCGCGUCACAUUCAGCUUGGCAUGUCCGUACUCCCUCUUGUCGCCCGCAGAGACAUUUUUGCCGUGGUUCCACGCUAUCAUUUGCAAGCCGUAGCAGAUGCCUAGGACAGGGACUCCUAGAUCGAAUACAGCUGGGUCUACGUGCGGUGCGUCUGGCGCAUAGACAGAGUAUGGACUCCCCGACAGAAUAACAGCCUUUGGUUUCCAUAGCAGAUCGGCAAUCUUUUGAGUACAUGGGAGCAUCUCAGAGUAGAUGUUGAGCUCGCGGAGUCUCCUCGUGAUCAGGUGCGAGUACUGUGAGCCAAAGUCGAGGACCCUAAUUUGUUCGGGACAUUAGCACAUCGUGGUAUCAAUUUGCGCAAUUGUGUGGGUUGCAGGACUCACAGAAUGGUGUCGAAGGUCAUAUGAGGCUCGACAACUAGUAAUUCAGCUGUAGUCGCCAUUAUAGAUAUAUAUACUGAGGGUAUUGGGAGUGAUUUUGGCCAGAUUGACUCCAAAGAAGGGAAAGGGAGCACAAAUUUUUCGAAAGUUGCUGAGGGGCCGGGAAAAUUAUGCCACCCGAUUGCUGACUCAUCGGCCCUAUCAGAUCGAGGGGUACAUUGGUUGAGGCGACGAAGAACGCAUCAAUGUUAUAUCCAUUGUACUCUCUGCAAAUUAGGCCUUCUGAUAGAUAUGGAUACAUAUCAAGGAAGCAAGGCACUAAUACUGUAGGUUAAAUGGGAUCCCCUUGUCAACGUUGCUAUCCUAUAUACAAUCAAACCGGGAAGUAAACUCAACAAAUUAUAUCUCAAUGAAAAACAUAAAACAUGCCGAAAUGCCAGAGAUUGUUAAUAAUUGAUAUACGCACGAUGGGAUUUACCUCAGGACUGCCAACUAGUUGCUGAGGUCAAGCGCCGCCGUUCAUAAAGUCGCAGAGCUUUCGCUUCCACUCCUCCAACUCCUUCGAGCGAUCAGCCAACGACAGCUCUUCCAGCUGAAUUUUGAGUUUGCUGUUCUCCUCCACAAGUCUAGCAUUGGACUUCCUCUCCAUACAUAAUUGAUUCUGCAGGUAUUUGACCUCGGGCAUAUAUUUCGCAACAACCUCCUGCUCCGAUAGAACAACCCGUCCAUUCGCAAUAUUCAACUCUUGCUCCAGAAAACUGACACGUGCUUGCAAAUCCCCCAUUCGGGACUGAAUUUCUACUCCCAUCUCGAGUUCGCGGUAUAUUGUCGAAAGAGCAUCAUCGACUUCAUUGGAGACGGUUUGGUAUCUUGAAUGUCGUGGCGCCGCUCCUCCCAAUGUCGAAUGAGCAGAUUCGAGCGCAGUUGAUCCGUGGCGUCUUGUGCUUGAUCUCUGGGGGACUGGUAAGGGUCGUGUUGGUAGGGGACGUCCAAUCCGCUCUCCCGGGACGUGCAAAGGGAUUUUAUGCACCCUUCUGCUCCUGGUGACGGAUAUACCGCUGUGGUAGGAGUAGUCACAGACUCACAUGAUGUCGUAUACCUUUCGCAGGCUGCAGAAUAAUGGUUUGCAGCAUUCGCUGCUGGGUGUGAACGUUUUGGGCUGAACUCGCUUUUCUUCAGUGAAGAGGCCGCGGAUAAUGGAGUAAUGUGUGCUGGGGUUUUAAGAUGCCAGUUCUUCUCGACACAGAGAGGGCAGUGGAACGGGGAGGGCACGUCCGAGUCCCUCCGUGGCGGAACCAGGAAAAUGGCAUGACAAGAGCGCAUGCAUGUUUUGCACCCAAAGACGUUAUUUUGGAGUUUGCAGACAUAACAAAUAUCCAUAUUCGGGUCCCCGACUGGUAAGAAUCUAUCAGUGUCCAAUGUCAAAAUCAAAAAUGUUAUGUUCAGGAAAACUAUGCAAAACUACAGUCACAUACUUCGCCAAUCACGCGUCCCUAGAGUGUGCUCUUCUGAUAAGGGUUUCGGGCGUCCAUAUUCGUCCUUGCCAACCCACAUAAGAGUUAAAUCAGACGCAUCCUUGAAAUUGUCAGAUCCUUUGCCACCUCCGGCAGCCUGCAUCUUCAUCUGAUGACAGGCUGGAUGAGUUCUUGGCCUCUUUGAUUCGGGCUGCAGGUUAUCCUUCGUUCUCCAGCCUCUCUUUGCGGCGCAAUGUUCUAGCACAGAAGAUUCCAUCAUGGAUGCAGAUGGUGGUCUACUACGAACGCUUUGUGGAAAAAUCCAAUAUGCAUUAGCAUCACUCCAUCUGACGCCAUCUCUCACCUCCGCCCUCGGAUGUCCACAAUAUUCUGUUGGGGGGUUUGGAUUGGUUCGUCCCCUCUACUACCAGCAUGGCGCUGGUGUGAGAGAGCUCUUUUGCCCCAGUGGCCUAACAUAUUCGGCGUCGUUUGGUCAUGGAUUAAUAAUAGUUCAUCCUUAGUCUUCCGAGUAUCAAGCACUCUGCCAAGACUCGUCGAUUCAAUAGGAAGAAGAUAAGAAAGAUAUGAUUGGCCAAACUAUGAUAAAAAUUCCCGUAUGAUUGAAUGUAUCCAACCUAGGUGGCAUGGUUAGCCAACCGAACCGUUCAACAAUUCUCUGUUGUUGGAACUGAUUUCAAUAUAUCUCUUCUUUGUAAAUAGUAUAAAAUAUCUUGUUGAAAUGUGCCAAAUCUUGCCCA
rnacentral:sRNA from 1 species